rnacentral:rRNA from 1 species
UACAGGGGGGGCAAGCGUUGUUCGGAAUUACUGGGCGUAAAGCGCACGUAGGCGGCUUUGUAAGUUAGAGGUGAAAGCCCAGGGCUCAACCCUGGAAUUGCCUUUAAGACUGCAUCGCUUGAACAUCGGAGAGGUAAGUGGAAUUCCGAGUGUAGAGGUGAAAUUCGUAGAUAUUCGGAAGAACACCAGUGGCGAAGGCGACUUACUGGACGAUUGUUGACGCUGAGGUGCGAAAGCGUGGGGAGCAAACAGG